rnacentral:rRNA from 1 species
UACGUAGGGUGCAAGCGUUAAUCGGAAUUACUGGGCGUAAAGCGUGCGCAGGCGGUUUUGUAAGUUUGUCGUGAAAGCCCCGGGCUUAACCUGGGAGGUGCGCUUGGGACUGGGUGGCUAGAGAUCGGGGAGAGGAGCGCGGAAUUCCCGGUGUAGCGGUGAAAUGCGUAGAUAUCAGGAGGAACACCUGCGGUGUAGACGGCUUACUGGACCAUAACUGACGCUGAGGCACGAAAGCGUGGGUAGCAAACAGG